AUAUAGCACCUGGCCCAGGAAAGAUACAGCAGGGCCACAUGGGGCUUGGAUAGAAGCUUUUCUGAGGCCAGGAGGUAGGGCUAGAGCUGGAUUCUAAAUCAUAGGACUGUGAUUCGAGGAACCGCAGGGAGAGCAAAAGAAGACAGGACAGUAUCCUGUGUUUGUGGCCACAAGCAGAAGCCAGGUGAAGAUGUGGGGAAGACCCAAGAGGAGAACCUAGGCCUACCUAGUUACCAGGGACAAGGGACAAAUGAGCCACUCCAGCGCUUCGUGGAGAGAGGAAGCUGCCCACUGCCGACCACAUACAGCAGGCAGCUUUUCUCUUAUAGCUCUCGUGUUGCGUUUCUUAAUUUAAAAUGGGAAAUUCCGUUGCUGCUUUUCUCUGCUCCAUCCAAAGGCCUCACAGAUGCUCCAUCAGUCUGAAACGCUGUGCUCUCUCUUGUCAUCACACUGCUCCUGACUCAAGCAGCUAUAAAUUGUUAGGGCUCUCCCUGCUAGUUUCUCUCCACCACCAGCUUGUUUCCCUCUCAUUGAUCCAACCUGCAUCUGUAUCUUCGAUGGAUAAGCAGUUCUUCAGACUGUUUAUACCUCUGGCUCUAAACUGAAACUACCAACAGCAACAGUAGCAUCAGCUUCAGCAUCAACCUUAGCAUCAGUAUCGGCUUCAGCAGCAGCAGCAACAACAACAGCAGCAGCAUCUGUGUCAAAGCCAGGACCAUCAAGGACCUUGUUAGAAGUAGAAAUCAUGUGGCUCCAUUCCAGAUCUACUGAAGCAGAGACUGCAGUGAGGCCCACCAAUGGGAAAGCCCUCCAGAUGGCCUUCAUACCUUGUAGAAUCAACAAAUAGUUGUUUGAGCUGUAGGCCAGUGUGCCUAGCCAACUAGGAGACUGAGGCAGGAGGGUUACAAGUUCAAGGCAUUUAUGGGUUAAAGAGUGAAACCCUGUCUUCAAAUAUAAAGUCA
rnacentral:lncRNA from 1 species